AGUGAACGCUGGCGGUAGGCCUAACACAUGCAAGUCGAACGGCAGCGCAGUAAGAGCUUGCUCUUACGGGUGGCGAGUGGCGGACGGGUGAGGAAUACAUCGGAAUCUACUUUUUCGUGGGGGAUAACGUAGGGAAACUUACGCUAAUACCGCAUACGACCUACGGGUGAAAGCAGGGGAUCUUCGGACCUUGCGCGAUUGAAUGAGCCGAUGUCGGAUUAGCUAGUUGGCGGGGUAAAGGCCCACCGAGGCGACGAUCCGUAGCUGGUCUGAGAGGAUGAUCAGCCACACUGGAACUGAGACACGGUCCAGACUCCUACGGGAGGCAGCAGUGGGGAAUAUUGGACAAUGGGCGCAAGCCUGAUCCAGCCAUACCGCGUGGGUGAAGAAGGCCUUCGGGUUGUAAAGCCCUUUUGUUGGGAAAGAAAAGCAGCAGGUUAAUACCCCGCUGUUCUGACGGUACCCAAAGAAUAAGCACCGGCUAACUUCGUG
rnacentral:rRNA from 1 species